UUGAUGUAAGAAAAGGUUUCAACAGAUUAACUUGUUUUCUUAUGAUAGAGAUACCAGAAAAGGAAACAAACUUUUAUAUAUAGAAGUUUUUAACCAGGGUUUUUUUUCCUGCAAUGUUUUAGUUGGUGAAAUUUCUGGAGGAGAAAUAGAUUUCUUGGAAUAAGAAUGAAGACAGAAUAUCUUGUUGAUUACAAAAUUCUGAAGAGGGAAAAUAUUUAGAGGGAAAAUGUUUAGAACUGACAAGAAGGGACAAACAACAUGAAGAUGUCCGGCCCUGGUGCUCUUCAUGGUGGGUCACAAGCCCUGUGAGGUGAUCAGAAACAAAAGCUAUUUCUGAAGUACAAAAUCUAGAUAUGGGGUAAAAAGAAUAUCACGUUGUAAAUGGUCAGAGUGCAUAUACACUCAUUUCAUGGCACAGCCAUGCCACCUUAACACAUUGUUACUUAAGAACCCUAGCUAAUAAAUAAGCAUAAUCAAACACAAGAUUAGAGUACAUCAGGUGCCUAUGCUCCACCUAUUAAAAAAUGAUACCAUAUCUUUACCUGUGGGUAUGCCUGAAUCUACCAAGUACAAAGUCCAUGGGGUAAAAGAUGAUACCCAUUCAUGCAGACCAUGGCGCACCAGUCACUGAGUUGGAACUCUGGACAAAGGGCUUUGGCUAACACAUCCCAGUGCAUUUAUGUAGCCACCCUGCCUGCAUGGUUUAGCUUUUCAUGACACUUGAUGCUGAAUGAUGUCUUGAAAUGAUGGGUGAUUUUGCACAAAUUGUUCCAGAGAAGACUAAAGAAGAAAGGAUGGGGUGGUGAUAAACAUAUCCAAGUAGAUUUAUAUUGACUGAUUUAACUACAGCAUGUAGUAUGUACUUAAGUAGUUGCUGCUGGCAGUAUAAAGGCUUUACAAUAACACAGCAUCCAUCACUGAAAGGUAAAGUGGAGGGAUUUUUAUUUUAAAUCUCUCAGGAGGAAAUUGAUGCCUUAGAAAAUCUGCAAGGCUUGAGUCAUCAAGUCUUCACUGUCAGCGGGCAUGUCUUUCAGACACUUCACCUUAUCUCACUGUGACUCACACACCAGGGAAGGAUGCACACCAUGGCAAAAAAUUGCACCCUCCUCUGUGUGAUAGACACAGCUGAAAAAAUUACAGGGCCUGAAGCAACUACUAGAUUAGAAAGAGAGCUGCCAUCCGAGAAGCCUGUUUCUCAUCACAUCCAUGACAGCGAGGUUCUGCAAGACCUCAGUCUCUCUCAACUUUUCACAGAACUGCAGAAUUGUUAGAGCUGGAAGAAAUGUCUGGAGAUCAUCUGGUCCAGACCCUCUCCCAAAACAGGGUCACCUGAAGCAGGUGGCACAGGAAUGCAUCCAGAUUAUGGCCACUGCUCCUUGUCCUGUCUCUGGGCAUCAUUGAAAAAAUUUGGCACCAUCCUCUUGACAUCCAUCCUUUGAGAUAGUUAUAUGUAUUAAU